GACGUCGCAUGCUCCCGGCCGCCAUGGCGGCCGCGGGAAUUCGAUUAGAGUUUGAUCAUGGCUCAGAUUGAACGCUGGCGGCAGGCCUAACACAUGCAAGUCGAGCGGUAGAGAGGUGCUUGCACCUCUUGAGAGCGGCGGACGGGUGAGUAAUGCCUAGGAAUCUGCCUGGUAGUGGGGGAUAACGCUCGGAAACGGACGCUAAUACCGCAUACGUCCUACGGGAGAAAGCAGGGGACCUUCGGGCCUUGCGCUAUCAGAUGAGCCUAGGUCGGAUUAGCUAGUUGGUGGGGUAAUGGCUCACCAAGGCGACGAUCCGUAACUGGUCUGAGAGGAUGAUCAGUCACACUGGAACUGAGACACGGUCCAGACUCCUACGGGAGGCAGCAGUGGGGAAUAUUGGACAAUGGGCGAAAGCCUGAUCCAGCCAUGCCGCGUGUGUGAAGAAGGUCUUCGGAUUGUAAAGCACUUUAAGUUGGGAGGAAGGGCAUUAACCUAAUACGUUAGUGUUUUGACGUUACCGACAGAAUAAGCACCGGCUAACUCUGUGCCAGCAGCCGCGGUAAUACGAAUCACUAGUGAAUUCGCGGCCGCCUGCAGGUCGACCAUAUGGGAG
rnacentral:rRNA from 1 species